UACAGGGAGACCUACUUCAUCAGGACCUGACCCAAACUUUAGGGUCCGAUGGAAGUCAUCCCAAAGGUCGGUCGAGGUAGCAAGUAAUGGUUUUCAAACUAUUUGCAGGUUUGCAAACACUGACUCAAUGAUGGUGAGAAAUCACUACCAAAAGUUCGGUUCUGCAACCGCCACACUGUAGCUGAGCUUGCUACAGUAGUAUCUGUGGUUAAGAGUUAGCCAGUUCAGCAAGUGAACUGAUACUAACCGAGAGUAUUCCAACCACUUCGCACCUAAGGCUUCAGCAACCUAUUUAGUUCUGGAAUUGCUAGACUGGAUGGCCUGCUGGAUGUUUAGUCCAGUGAGAACCUUGAAAACUGCAUAGCAAUAGUCAUAAGCCAACUGUAAAGGCUCAAGUUAAUCUUGAGUACUUGCAAGCAGGUAGAUAUCGAAAUAGACACUAAGUAAAAGU
rnacentral:misc_RNA from 1 species